UGAUCCGUGGGUGUCCGAAUGGGGCAACCCGCCGCGCGAGGGCGCGGCAUCCGCCGGACGGCGGAGGCGAACCCGACGAACCGAAACAUCCCAGUAGUCGGAGGAAAGGAAAACAAGAGUGACCCCCCGAGUAGCGGCGAGCGAAAGGGGGCCAGCCCAAACCGCGGGCGUCGAGGCGCGCGCGGGGUUGUAGGGCAGGCGACAUGGAAGAGGCGAGGGUAGCGGAACGCGCCUGGAAAGGCGGGCCGUAGCGGGUGACAGCCCCGUACGCCAAACCCUUGCGAACCUAGCCUGUACCCUGAGUAGGGCGGGGUCGGAGGAGCCCUGUCCGAAUCCGGCGGCACCAUCCGCCAAGGCUAAGCACUCCCGGGAGACCGAUAGAGGACGAGUACCGUGAGGGAAAGGUGAAAAGCACCCCGGACAGGGGAGUGAAAGAGACCCUGAAACCGUGCGCCCGCAAGCGGUCGGAGCCCCUUUAUGGGGUGACGGCGUGCCUUUUGCAUAAUGAGCCUACGAGUCGCUCGUCGCCGGCGAGGGCAAGCGCAUGGAUGCGCGGACCCGGAGCGAAAGCGUGUCCGAAGAGGGCAGAUGAGUCGGCGGCGGCGGACGCGAAACUUUGCGAUCUACCCCAGGCCAGGCUGAAGGCGCCGUGACAGGCGCUGGAGGGCCGAACCGGUUUACGUUGAAAAGUGCUCGGACGAGCUUGGGGUAGGGGUGAAAGGCCAAUCAAGCUGAGAGAUAGCUCGUACUCCCCGAAAUGCCUUUAGGGGCAGCCUCGGGCGCUGCGCCGCGGAGGUAGAGAUACUGAUUGGGCGAGGGGGCUUCGCCGCCUACCGACCCCAGCCAAACUCCGAAUGCCGCGGUGUGCAGCCCGGGAGUGAGGGGCAGGGUGCUAACGUCCUGUCCCGAGAGGGAAAGAACCCGGACCACCGGCCAAGGCCCCCAAGGGGCGCCUAAGUUGCUCUAACGAGGUCCGCCUGCACAGACAGCCGGGACGUUGGCUUGGAAGCAGCCAUCCGUUCAAAGAGUGCGUAACAGCUCACCGGUCGAGCGGGCGGGUAUGGAUGAUGAGCGGGCAUUAAGGCGUCCGCCGAAGCCGUGGGAUGGCGAGAGCCAUCGGUAGGGGAGCAUACCCUGCGCCUGGAAGCGGGUCCGUGAGGGCCCGUGGAGCGCAGCGUAAGGCAAAUGUAGGCAUGAGUAACGACAACGGGGGUGGAAAACCCCCGCGCCGGAAGACCAAGGGUUCCUGAUCAACGCUAAUCGGAUCAGGGUCAGCCGGGGCCUAAGGGCGCCCUGCGGUUGCAGGGCAGCCCGAGGGGGAACGGGUCAACAUUCCCGUGCCCCCCGCGGAUGCGAAGCGGGGACGGAGGACCGGAACCGCCGCCGGCAGACGGAAUUGCCGGUUGAAGCAGGAAGGUAUAGGGACGGGAGUGAAGUACCCCGCCCCUGCCGAGAUGCGACAGUACGCCGACCCUUCGGGGGAGGCGACAGCGCGGGGAAGGCGGCUCCCGAGAAAAGCCGCUAAGCUUCAGUCCGCGGGGGCCCGUACCGGAGACCGACACAGGUGGUCGAGGAGAGCAUCCACAGGCGCUCGAGUGAGUCACGGCCAAGGAACUAGGCAAACUGGCCCCGUAACUUCGGGAGAAGGGGCCCUGCGGAGACGCAGGCGCAGAGAAACGGCCCAGGCGACUGUUUAGCAAAAACACAGGGCUAUGCGAAGCCGCAAGGCGAGGUAUAUGGCCCGACACCUGCCCGGUGCCGGAAGGUUAAGGGGAGGGGUCAGCCCUUCGGGUGAAGCCCUGAACUGAAGCCCCGGUAAACGGCGGCCGUAACUAUAACGGUCCUAAGGUAGCGAAAUUCCUUGUCGGGCAAGUUCCGACCUGCACGAAUGGUGU
rnacentral:rRNA from 1 species